rnacentral:rRNA from 1 species
UACGUAGGGUGCUAGCGUUAAUCGGAAUUACUGGGCGUAAAGCGUGCGCAGGCGGUCCUUUAAGUCUGAUGUGAAAGCCCACGGCUCAACCGUGGAGGGUCAUUGGAAACUGGGGGACUUGAGUACAGAAGAGAAGAGUGGAAUUCCACGUGUAGCGGUGAGAUGCGUAGAGAUGUGGAGGAACACCAGUGGCGAAGGCGACUCUUUGGUCUGUAACUGACGCUGAGGCGCGAAAGCGUGGGGAGCAAACAGG